UACGUAGGGGGCAAGCGUUAUCCGGAAUUACUGGGCGUAAAGCGCACGUAGGCGGCUUUGUAAGUUAGAGGUGAAAGCCUGGAGCUCAACUCCAGAAUUGCCUUUAAGACUGCAUCGCUUGAAUCCAGGAGAGGUGAGUGGAAUUCCGAGUGUAGAGGUGAAAUUCGUAGAUAUUCGGAAGAACACCAGUGGCGAAGGCGGCUCACUGGACUGGUAUUGACGCUGAGGUGCGAAAGCGUGGGGAGCAAACAGG
rnacentral:rRNA from 1 species